UAAUCUUUAAAAUCUUGAAUACGCCUUGAAAAAAAUGUUUGUGUUAAGUUUGGAAAAAAGAAUAUUAUGGUGUGGUAUCAAAGCGAAAGGAACUUCUAAGACAAAAGAAAGGAAAAGAAUAAUAAAAAGGAAAAAGAUGAGUAUUCUUUGAGACGUAGCAGAAUUGUUGAAGGAUGGAACAUAAAUUAGAAAGUUUUGUUAGCGGCGAAUAUUACAAAUUGUGCGUAAACAAUACUAGAAAUUCUGAGGGAAACAAAUUCUGUAUGGACGGUUGGCGAUAAAAAGCUUCUACACGAAUUAGGUAAUAGAAUAGAAUGAAGAAGAAAUUUGGAUGGAUGGCAAAUUCCUGAGUUGCCACUACAAGAUGCGCGCCUUCUUUACUUAAUCAACAUACCACACAACAGAUGCUUUACCCCUACUUUUCUGUGGCUUUCCAUCUAUCUUAUCUAUCUUUUUGCAAUCUCCUUUUGUUUCAAUUUUGACACAAUUUUAGACAUCCAAAUGCUUAGCUUAAAGAAAAAACAGCCUCCGUAGUGACAUGAGCCAGGAAGAACUGCCCCAAUGACUGCUUUAAUAGAGGAAUUUUGGUCGGUCAGUGAGUAUCACCUUUGGAGCUCGUUCUCCCAUUGCUAAAUUCCAUGUUUGUAUUAGCCACAUAAAUGUAUGAACUCUCUCAUCUGCAAUCACUGCACAACCAAGUAGGUUGAAUAUGAUGGUGAAGAAAACUGUCUCAUCUAAAUGGAGGGAGGGAGGUCUUUUACUUUUAGGUUAAAGCAUAUUUAAUCUCUCAACAUUGUUGUUUAUUGGGUCAUAAUUAAUAAAUAAUAUGUAUGUUAGUCCACAUUA